UUAGGUGGCCAUGGCGACGGGGCCCACCCCUUACCAUUCCGAACAGGGAAGUUAAGCCCGUCUGCGCCGAUGGUACUGCUACACCAAGUGGGAGAGUAGGCCGCCGCCUUUUUUUGAAAGCACUUGCCGUUUUUACGGUAGGUGCUUUUUUUUGUCCGAACUUUAAUAAAAGGGCACGCCUUGGGCGUGAUU
rnacentral:rRNA from 1 species